rnacentral:misc_RNA from 1 species
AGCCUUUUGACAAUUUAACCGUAAAAGUAGAAGAGAUUGCCGAAAACGUAGGAGGCUCUUCCCUGGGUCAUUUGCCAGCAUAUGGUGUACAACAGCUAAGGAGCCUAUAUCAUCAACGGAGGACCACCUAUCAUAAAGUUGCAUCCAGCAAUCAGCCUGACUCCACUGCUGGACAAGAGGAUGAAGAAGUUCUACCAAGCGAUCCCCGUGCAUUUUCCCAUUAAACAUCAUGUAAUUUGGCUCCAAAGUCAAGAGUGCCCGGACGUCUCUGAGAGCACUUUCAUAAUCCUCCAAAGCAAUUGAAAUCCAAGCUCGUAAUUCAAGGCAAUCAGAAGAGACCUUGAAACCAAUUAUUUUGUUGAGUUCUGAGAUUGCUGCUCCCAAUCUGUUCUCCUGCACCAACAAAACAGCCCUGUACUUGUAUGGAAAAGAAAGAGUUGGAUCCAAUUCAGUUGCUGUGUUCAAAUCCAUCAUCUUCUCCUUCCCAACACAAUACAAGGACCUUUCCUGAUACAUCCACCCAAUUGGUUUAUAAUCAGAAACCAGAGAAUUCGUCAUCUUGUACGCUGAAUACUUGUGGCCACGCUUAUAUCUGGCCCUUGCAACACCAACUAAUGAAUAAACAUGACCUGCCUCAGCUGCAGCUUCAAACCAAUUCUGGGCGUCUUUAUAUUCUUUCCUUUCAAGCAUCACAACGCCUAAUUGGUGAUAAGCAAGUUGCUUCUGCCAACCUUCUUUUGCACACUCUCCCAACCUCUCCAAAAGCAUCACCGUUGCAUUGGAUUUCAUGUCUUCCUCGAAAGCAAUCUGGCUCAAGAAGUAGUACAACAGAAAAGAAGUAUGCCCAACCAGAGCCAAUCUCUCAGUACCCUCUGAACUACAAAACAAUCUCAUCACAUCAGAAUUAUACAUUGAAUUCGGAAGCUCUCUCAAAAACACCUGUAAACAAGCAGCAACUAAAAGAUAUGCAGUCUCCUCCAAACCAAACUCAAUUAAAACCAUGGCCUCCUCCAUUUCUGAAACCAAAGAUGCCAAAUGGGCAUCACAAGCUGACUUCAAUUCCUCGCAACAAAACCUGUUUGCCAAAGAAAGAAGCUCUAAUACGAUGGGCAGCUCGAAAGAACCUAAUCUUUUCGUCCUGCUAAAAAUCUCCACCGCUCUCAUUCCUUUUGCCGAUAUCCCAUUCUUAGAGAAAUUUAUCUUCUCUCUCCUUGACUCCGAAAAACCACCGUACAGCAAUGCUUUAAACGGUCUCGAAAGUGAAGCAAUAUUGUAACGCACACACCUAAUCUCAUCAUCACCAAUGCAAAACGACAUAUCACCGUCUUCAUCGGAGGUUGAACAUUCAUUGUCCCCAAUUGAAAUAUCAUCAUCGCAUUCUUCUCUAGGAGACCUCGAACACAUACAAGGAUCAUUUACCGAUUCAGGAUCGUAACCGGAAACCAAACAAGCCUUAGGGCAUUCUAGAUUUCUCCCGCAACAAUCCAUGGCCGAUGUACCCACAAGUUCAUCUUCUCUCCUCUCAAAUCUUAACCACGAGGCCAGCACGAUUUUCGAGUGCACGUCAACGGCGUGCUGUCUGGCCGAACNNNNNNNNNNNNNAACAUUUUCGGAUCCGAUAAACCCCGGAAUAUCGCGCAUUGCUCUAUGUACACCUCGGAUUUCUCGAAUUGGGGACAUUUCUCAAUUUUACGAUAUACAUCCGCUAGAGUUUGGACAAAAUCAACAUACCUAAGGCAAGGUUCGAUCUGCGGCUCGAGGAGAUCGGAGUCGGGAAGACCGGAAGGGAGUAGAUUUUCAACUGAUAUAUUAUUUGUGAUGUUAUUAGGCGAUGUUUGAGAAGUUCGAUUUGAUUUUGGUCUAGCGGAAUUGACUCUGAGGUCUUGCAGGUGUUGCAGAAACUUUUCCCCGACACCACCGCAGCCGGCUCCGCCGCCUCCAGCGGCGGUGCCAUUGGGAUUAAGGGCAUAAACCUGUGUGGCUUUACACCCUUCAAUGAACUUCAAGCUACGCAUUGAAGUGAAUAUAUUAUGCU